rnacentral:rRNA from 1 species
ACUAGACCGAUAGUGUACAAGUACCGUGAGGGAAAGGUGAAAAGAACUGAGGUGAUCAGAGUGAAAUAGAACCUGAAACCAUUUGCUUACAAUCAUUCAGAGCCCUAUGAUUUAUCAGGGUGAUGGACUGCCUUUUGCAUAAUGAGCCUGCGAGUUGUGAUGUCUGGCAAGGUUAAGGAAACCCGGAGCCGUAGCGAAAGCGAGUCUUAAUAGGGCGUUUAGUCAGACGUUGCAGACCCGAAACGAUGUGAUCUAUCCAUGAGCAGGUUGAAACCGGUGUAAGAGCCGGUGGAGGACCGAACCCGCUAGCGUUGAAAAGCUAUGGGAUGACUUGUGGAUAGGGGUGAAAGGCCAAUCAAACAUCGUGAUAGCUGGUUCUCUCCGAAAUAUAUUUAGGUAUAGCGUCAUGUAGUAACACUAGGGGGUAGAGCACUGAAUGGGCUAGGGCAUACACCAAUGUACCAAACCCUAUCAAACUCCGAAUACCUAGUGUGUAAUCAUGGCAGUCAGGCGGCGAGUGAUAAAAUCCGUCGUCGAGAGGGGAACAACCCAGACUAACAGCUAAGGUCCCUAAAUCUCAUUUAAGUGGAAAACGAUGUGGAGUUACUUAAACAACCAGGAGGUUGGCUUAGAAGCAGCCAUCCUUUAAAGAAAGCGUAAUAGCUCACUGGUCUAGUGAUUCUGCGCGGAAAAUAUAACGGGGCUAAAAUGAGUACCGAAGCUUUAGACUUAGUUUUACUAAGUGGUAGGAGAGCGUUGUAUUUGCGUUGAAGGUAUACCGGUAAGGAGUGCUGGAGCGAAUACAAGUGAGCAUGCAGGCAUGAGUAGCGAUAAUUGGGGUGAGAAUCCCCAACGCCGUAAACCCAAGGUUUCCUACGCGAUGCUCGUCAUCGUAGGGUUAGCCGGGUCCUAAGCAAAGUCCGAAAGGGGUAUGCGAUGGAAAAUUGGUUAAUAUUCCAAUGCCAACUAUAAUGUGCGAUGGAAGGACGCUUAGAGUU